CGUGCCUGGCAGAGAAAGCCGCAGCCGGCACUGGGUGAUGCAGAUGCCAUGUUUCCCAGGCCCCGGAGCGCCUGCCGGUGGGCCCGGAGGAGGAGGAGGCUCCUAGUGCCCAGCAGAAAUUCUGGCCAACAGGUUCCCUGUGAGGAGAAAUUCAAGAGUUUGAACUAUCUGGCUUUGAAAGGGGACUCUGCUGAAGAGGCUGAUGAGCUGGGAUGGUGGAAGGGUUGGAAUGCCCACCGCCAGGAGUUCGAUCCUGACCAGCUCAAGGUUGACUCAGCCUUCCGUCCUUCCCAGCUUGACCAACGAGGAGACCCACCCCAAUUGGAUCCAGUGUUCCAACUUGAUCCAAAGAGCCUUCUUCUGUCCUGGACCACCCUGGAGACCCUCCCCCCAAAUCCACCCUGGAUUCAUCCCUUCUUCUCUGCAAUAAAGCUUUGGUUCCAGCUGCC